rnacentral:lncRNA from 1 species
CAUGGUAGAGUUCAAGUCCAGCCCAUACAAUUUCACUAAGUCAUUGAAGAAGAGGAAAACUCGAGAGAGCAUGAAGUGUUAUUUUCUCCUUGGAGUAACGCCAGUGCGAAUGAGCUCGUUCUGUCCUUUAGUUGCACCGACUUAUUUUACAUGGUUCAAAGAUGUAAGUCAAGAUUGUCAUUACAUUGAGUUGCUUCCGUGGUAUAGUUAUUAAACCCGAC